rnacentral:misc_RNA from 1 species
GUUAUGUGUUUAGGCAGACGAUGUCCGCGGUCAUUCUAUGAAAUACAGAGUUUGUAAAGGGGACGGCUUUGCCGCGAGCGGCUCCACCCUCCCAAAGGUUCACAGGGGUUUGGUUUGGAAGGCACGCCCAGGGGCCCGCAGCACGGCGUCUCCGCCGGUGCAGGGCCGACCCGAGCGGCCGAACGAACACGUUAAUGAUCCUUCCGCAGGUUCACCUACGGAAA